rnacentral:rRNA from 1 species
GUAACUUUCCUGCCCAAUGAUUUAUAUUUAAUGGCCGCGGUAUUCUGACCGUGCAAAGGUAGCAUAAUAAUUUGUCCAUUAAUUGUGGACUAGUAUAAACGGAGAAACGAAAUAAGAUCUAUUUCAAUAUACCAUUUUAUAAACUAAUUUAAAAGUGAAGAAUCUUUUAUUUUAUUAAAGGACAAGAAGACCCUAUAGAGCUUUAUCAUACCAUUAUAUAUUAUAAUUGCAUGAUUCGGUUGGGGCAACCUAGGAAAAUUCAUCCUACUAUAUAUUAUCAAGAUUUAUAUAUCUUACAAUUUGAUCCAUUCUAUGAACACUAAACAAAGCUACCUUAGGGAUAACAGGCUAAUCCCUCUUUAGAGUUCUUAUCAACAGAGGGGAUUGGCACCUCGAUGUUGGCUUAGAUUCCCUUCAGGGCGCAGAUGUCUUAAAAGGGGUUUGUUCAACCCACAAUCAUCU